rnacentral:tRNA from 1 species
GGGGCAUUAGCGCAGUUGGGAGCGCGUUUGCAUGGCAUGCAAGAGGUCACGGGUUCGAAUCCCGUAUGCUCCA